GUGUGGGCUUGUGUUGCUGCUCGUCGACAAGUCCGCUCUCUAUUUUUUUCACCUCUUCUCUAUUGAAAGAAAGUCUUGAAAAUUUCGACAUUUAACGCGCGCAAACGACGCCUGAAGGUCGUGGAGAGCAUUCGUGAAUGACGUAGAUACAGUCUCCGUAUUCGCAGUUCCGGUGGAUCUUGUUAUGAAAGUAAAGUAACCAACUUUCAAACUGAACAAUAAUAUAUAAUUAUAUUAAUGCUAUUGGUAAUCUUGAAGGUAUAUAUGAAAGACACUGUAAACUUCCUUAUUGCGUUAAAAAGGCCGUGUUCAACAUAAAUUUUUGUUCAUUAAAGUCAUGCCUGCUUGGAGCUAAGUCCCUGCAAACUCCAAAUCCCAACAAUUGUUCGGAAGCCACCAUUGCGCAGUAAAUUGGAAGUCCCACACAACGUCAGGGAUGCUUGCCGACACCGAGAGAUCAAACGACCAUUGCGCCGAUAUCGAGACAGAUGGUCGGGCUCACAGAGACGACGCUUCUUCGGGCCCUGAAUUUGGCCCUGGCUGCCGCCCUGUGCAGCCUGUUAAGAUUACGAGUUCUUCAUAUGUUAUGCGUUGCCAUUCUUGUCAUAAAUCUAAUGUGGGAUUUUGUGAGAAAACAAGUCAGUGUUUUAAUAAUAAACAGCAAUGUUCUCUCGGUGGCAGUGACAGAAAAUUUCCAAAUGAAAACUACCGAACUUAUAACCGUGAAACUGGUAACACUUCUUUGCAUGAAACUCACAAGCAUAGAAGUCGUAAAGAAAUGAAUGAAGGAACAUAUGUCGCCGCAAGAAGCAAAUAUCAUUUUAAUUUCUCAGAAAACAAAUUCUCUUCGUCUCCUGUUGUUAAUGACAGUAAUGAUAAAAUAUUUGCCCAUAACACGCGGAAAAACUUCAAUGUAAAUGAUCAAUGUACUACCGAUACCAUACAAAAAUAUUCAGGCUGGAAUUUUUUGGCUUCUGCUACCGGAGUAGCUAUCAAUCUUGGUUCAUUCCUGAAUCCCUGUUAUUUGGUUCCGUCGGCCGUUCAUCCGUCUUCAAAAUCUCGGAUGUCUUCAUUGCAACUCUGGCUCGUCCUGACUCUGCUCAUGUCUAACUUGGCUGCAUCCGCUCUUGGCUCGACGCCUACACGACCGAAAACAUCACCUGUGAGCUCGCAAGAGCCUGACCUGCUUGAAGCCCUGCGGUUGGUAGACG
rnacentral:lncRNA from 1 species